AUCGGAGUUUGGGUCUUGGAAGCAAUAUUGCACAUGGUGUGACCACAAUAAAUUUUGGGGAACAAUCCAUGAAUCCAAGACCCAAACUCCGAUCACCGCCACCGUCCUCCGUCAUCAUUCCUCCGGCGUCGCCACCCAAAUCCCUAAUCAACAAAAUGCGCAGAAAAUUUACCAGAUCAACUCUUACACUUGCCACUACUUUGUUCUCAAUCUUAGCUUUAUAUGCUUUCUUCAACACAUUCAUCUUCUCAGACCCACCAAACAAUGUCGGCAGUGUUAGUUUCAGCAGGAAUUACAAUACCCAGAAUUUGAAAUCUGUGAAAGUUUACAUGUAUGAUCUGCCUAGGAAGUUUACGUAUGGGGUUAUUGAGAGCUAUGCGUUGGCA
rnacentral:misc_RNA from 1 species